GGCCGACAGGCGUAGUCGAUGGAUAACGGGUUGAUAUUCCCGUACCGGCGCUGGUGCGCCAAUACCGAAUCCUUUCAUGCUAACCACCUGCUCUGAUCGUCCUUCGGGAUGCGUGGGGUGGCUGGGAUCCUGGUUGGUAGUAGGCAA
rnacentral:rRNA from 1 species